UACAGAGGGUGCAGGCGUUAAUCGGAUUUACUGGGCGUAAAGCGCGCGUAGGCGGCUAAUUAGGUCAAAUGUGAAAUCCCCGAGCUUAACUUGGGAAUUGCAUUCGAUACUGGUUAGCUAGAGUGUGGGAGAGGAUGGUAGAAUUCCAGGUGUAGCGGUGAAAUGCGUAGAGAUCUGGAGGAAUACCGAUGGCGAAGGCAGCCAUCUGGCCUAACACUGACGCUGAGGUGCGAAAGCAUGGGGAGCAAAC
rnacentral:rRNA from 2 species